UCACAGCAUCCGCAGAUCCCAUAGUCUAGAGGCUGCAGAAAGGGCUCAGGAACCAAAGGAACUCUAGGAGACACCCGCCUGCACCCCCACCACUAAGGGAUCCUGAGGGCUGCUGAAGGGCCUCCUCCCUCUUACCCCCAAGACUGGAGCUGCCCAGGAUACUGCUCCUUCCUCAGAGCCUGGGCCAGAUACCUCCAAUCUGGCUGAGGGUAUAUUGGGCCCCCAUUCUGGUGUGACCUUUUCUAGCCAGGCUGCUUCUGAACUAGUUAAUGAAAGCAGCAGCCCCACCCUUACCGACAGGGCCUGAUCCCUGUGGGGUGCCCUCUGGGCUGAGGGGCCUGAACCAGGCUCAGGAAAGGAAAUAAGGUCAGGCCUGACUGUGGGGAGAGCACCAGAGAACAACCCAAGCAGAGGAUGCCCCUCUUUGUGGCUCUUCAUGCUUCAAGCACUUCUAUUCAGCAAAUCCUAAGGACCUGUGUCCAGGCUGCCUCAGGUGCUGUGUCAGUGAUAAGUCAGACUGUUCUCUGCCUUCAUGGUGCUCAGGAGGGGGCAGCCACACAGACACUUCCCGUACACGGUGGGCAGUAUGUGAUGCAGGCAGAGAAGGGACUGAAGGGGCACAGAAGAGGGACCUCACCCAGCUUGGCAAAGUUGGCAAGGCUUCCUGGAGGGGGUAAAGCAGCAGUGGGCCAGAUUGGCAGGCCCCAGGCUGGAUUGAGGCUCAUUCUCUGCCUUCAUUCUCUCUGUCACUGCACUUAACCUUGACUCUUUAUGUUUCCGUCUCCCACAUUAGACUGUACCUAUUGAGGACAGGUACACAUCUUACUUAUAUUGGGAUCCCAGACACUCAGUUCAGGGCCUGGCAUAAGCCGAUGGUCUAUAAAUACGUAUCACACGGCUGGAAGGAUGGCUGGAUGCCAGAACAAGAAAACUGAAGGGAAGCUGAGGGGGACUGGUGCUAUCAGCCAGACUGACUGAGCCAAAGGAACCCAGGCCGGAGAAGAAAACCAAUAGCAGUGGCUGCCUCAGUGGAAGAAAACGGUGUAGUUAUGGAGCAGGAGUGAGAGGGAGACUAACUCUGUGCCAUUUGCAUCUUUUGAACUUGGAAUCACAUAAGUAAUGGACGAAAUGAAGGAACUGAUGAAUGCAGUGGUAGAACAUCCCAGAUGAAGAGGCAGGCUGUGGCCCCAGCAUCUUAUAGAACAGCCCAGGGCCUGAUGACUAUGGGGAAUGACUCCCAAAGGAGUAGCCUGGCAGCUACUGUGUGACCCCAUUCCCCUUCCCAAAGCCAACUGGGCCAGUGUGGGACACCUGCUUCAUUUGGGCCAAUCACCUUCUCUUGGGAAUUUGGAGAUUCUUUUCACAUGGCUGGACCUGUCAGGUGCUGUGAGCAGUCACGUUGCCGCCCCCACCCAUCCGAUAGAAGGCAGAGAAGGCCAGUCUGGGAAGAGAACAGAACAGAGGCAGAGACAGAAGCAGGGAGAUGCCACCCCCUGGAUUGCUGAGCCAGGUGAGAACCAAUAAGAACUAUGUUCCCAGAAGCUCUCACCUGACAUGCACACUCAGAGUAAGGAGGUCUACAGUCCUUCCCGGUGGAGGAAAGAGCCUGGAAAGGUGAAGAAGAGGUGUCCGAAGCUUGGAGAUGAAGGAGCGAGCACAGGAGUCCUCAAACACACCUCGGGGACCUCACAAUUGGGCCAGUGUGGUAAUAAGAUAAUCCCAUAAAAUAACGUUGUACCCAUAAAAUAAGACCUUGGGCUGACAUGUCACUGGGGAUGUUAAAUUGAUGGCUUGUUUUAUUCCCCUUUCUCUUGAGAGCCUUCUAAAAUGAUUGUUAAGAAAUAAAAAGGAUAUAAACCCACAACAAUAAAAAUAAUGGGUGAGGCAUCAUCAGUAGGGGAGAUACUCAACAAAUGUCAGGACAACAGAAAGCAGAUGGAAGCGUGAUAACUAAUGCAGUAGGACAGAGAAAGCCUUGGCACAGAGCAUGCAGAGAAGAAGAUACAGCCAUGGAAAGAGGCAGCACCAGCCUCUUGGCAGCCCCAGCAAAACACAGAGCUUAAAUCAGCAGAUUAAAUGAAAAUCUGUACACUGGACAGUGCCUCCCAACACCUGGGCACAGACCACCAAGAGGUCAGGGUCUACUCUCCAAGUGGGAACGGGCAGUUUCUGGAGAAAUCUAAUGUCCCCAGACGAAGGACCCUCACGUUCUGGGAUUGGGGUGGGACUGGGGGGAGGAAGUACUCUGCUGUAGUGACUGACUGACUGGCUGCCUAGUCAACUAAGACACGCCAGCUAAUCAGCAAGCUUUUCAGUUCUUCAUUCUUAAAUAUGAAUGGACAGCCAAAGAUUACCACACAUUUGAGGAAAACCUCCAAACUGAGCACAAGACAAACAAAUAAAAUGACCUCAGAGGAAAUGGAAAUAAUGCAAGGAACAGAGAACUAAAAAAAAAGUUUACACUCUAUUAAGAUCCUCACAUAGAUUCAAGGACAUGUUGUACCCAUAAAAUAAAAACUGGAUGGUAUGAAGGAAAAAGAACCAAAGAGAACUUUUGAAAAAAAAUAUUAUAUUUAUGUAUAUGUUAAUUAUAUAAAUGACUUAUAUAAUAUCAUGUAAAUUAAGUUAUAUAUGUAAUUUUUAUAUAAUAUAAAUAUAAUGGGAAUAGACAAAGGACAUUUUUCAGAGAGUGAAACAAAAAGAUGAGGAGGUAGAAAAUAUGAGAGAAUGGGGAGCCUGGCUGGCUCAGUCAGAGGAGCAUGGGACUCUCGAUCUUGGGGUUGUGAGUUCAAGCCCCACACUGGAUAUAGAGAUUACUAAGAAAAAUAAAUGAACCUUAAAAAAAAGAAGAAAAUAUGAGAGAAAAUAUAAGCAACAUAAAGGAUCAAUCCAAGAAGUUAAAAAUCCAACAAAUGGGGAAUUCUAGCAGAUACAAAUGGAGAAGAGGAAUCAUUUAAAAGUUACAUAAGAUGGAAAAAGAUAUUUGCAAAUGACAUAUCAGACAAAGGGCUGGUAUCCAAAAUCUAUAAAGAACUCACCAAACUCCCCACCCGAAAAAUAAAUAAUCCAGUGAAGAAACAGGCAGAAGUCACGAAUGGAUACUUUUUCAAAGAAGAUACUCAGAUGGCCAACAGGCACAUGAAAAGAUGCUCACCAUCACUCCCCAGCAGGGAAAUACAAAUCAAAACCACACUGAGAUACCACCUCAUGCUAGUCAGAGUGGCCAAAAUGAAAAAUCAGGAGACUGUAGGUGCUGGAGAGGAUGUGGAGAAAUGGGAACCCUCUUGCACUGUUGGUGGGAAUGCAAACUGGUGCAGCCACUCUGGAAAACAGUGUGGAGGUUCCUCAAAAAAUUAAAAAUAGAUCUACCCUAUGACCCAGUAAUAGCACUGCUGGGAAUUUACCCAAGGGAUACAGGAGUGCUGAUGCAUAGGGGCACUUGUACCCCAAUGUUUAUAGCAGCACUUUCAACAAUCGCCAAAUUAUGGAAAGAGCCUAAAUGUCCAUCAACUGAUGAAUGGAUAAAGAAAUCGUGAUAUGGGUAUUGAGGAGGGCACCUUUGGGGAUGAGCACUGGGUGUUGUAUGGAAACCAAUUUGACAAUAAAUUUCAUAUAUUGAAAAAAAAUUGUGGUUUAUAUACACAAUGGAAUACUACUUGGCAAUGAGAAAGAAUGAAAUAUGGCCUUUUGUAGCAACAUGGAUGGAACUGGGGGGUGUUAUGCUAAGCGAGAUAAGUCAUACAGAGAAAGACAGAUACCAUAUGUUUUCACUCUUAGGUGGAUCCUAAGAAACUUAACAGAAGACCAUGGGGGAGGGGAAGGGAAAAAGAGUUAGAGAGGGAGGGAGGCAAACCAUAAGAGACUCUUAAAAACUGAGAAUAAACUGAGGGUUGAUGGGGUUGGGGAGAGGGAAAAGUGGGUGAUGGGCAUUGAGGAGGGCACCUGUUGGGAUGAGCACUGGGUGUUGUAUGGAAACCAAUUUGACAACAAAUUUCAUAUUAAAAAACAAAAAUAAAUAAAAGUUACAUAAGAAAAUGUCCCAUAAACAAAAGUCAUAAAGUCUCCACAUUAAAAGAGCUCAAUAUGUGCCCCCAAAAUGAAGGACAAAGUGACCCACACUCAAGUCCGUUAUCCUGACAUUUUUUAACAACAGGGAUGAGAGAGAUCUAAGAGCUUUCAGAGGGGAGCAAAAUGAAAAUAAAGAAAAAAAAGGUCACAAAGGAACGAUAAUCAGAAUGACCUCAGAAUUCUCAGCGGCAACAUGGGAUGCUAGCAGUCAAUGGAGAAAUGCUUCCAAAUGCUGGGAGAACAGAGUUUUCAAUCUAGAGCUCUAGCUAGGCUGAACCGUCCAUUAUUGGGCUGUAAUAAAUACAUAUAGAGACAUAUAUGGAGUCAGAACAUUUAUGUCCUAUGUACCCUUAGGUGAUUACUUGGAGGGUUUUCUCCAAACAUGGAAAUAAGCCAUGAAAGAAGACUGAGCUCCAGAAAAGACUGGCCUCGUGCAGAAAGCUAGGAAAGGAAGUGAGACUGAUGGAUGUCCAACAGGUGUGGACACUCGCAGACCAGACUGGAGUGCGAGAAUAGGGGGCCCUGAAAGGUCUCCGGGGAGAAAAAGAGACUGGGGAAACAUGAGGGAAAGAUAAAGGCCAUUAGGAAAAGAGGAAAAGAAAAAGUGGUGUAAGAAAUAAAAUGCAACCUGGUAACCACCAGGUCUGCAGUGAAUGUGAUACUAACACAGCUACACGAAAGACAGUGUCUUAGCUUCGCAGUUUGGGAUGCAUCUAUAAACAAAGCACGAAAGCCUUGAUUGCCCAGUUGGCGACAGAAGAGGAAAUCAGAGAUGUGAAGCAUGUCAAAGAUUCCAUCUGCCUUUGUUGUCUGGAAAAUGGAAGGGGCGAGUGGAAGGGACCUGAGGCUUGCCUCUAGUGCCAGGAGCGCCCCAUGACCAAUAGUCAGCAAGGAAACAGGCACCUCAGUCUUACAACAGCAAGGAACUGGAUUCUGCCAACAGUGAGUAUAAGCUUGGACGUAGAUUCUUUCCUGAGCCUCCAGAUGAGAGGCCUGCCCAGCUGGUUUCUUGAUCUCAGCUUUGUGAUACUGUGAGCAGAGAACCCAGACUUCUGAGCAACUGUGAGGGAACAGGGGAGCGUUGCUUCAAAUUGCCAAGUUUGUGAUGAUUUGUUACAGAGUCCUAGAGAACUAAUCUACCUGGGAUGUCUGCCCCCAAACACUUAUUUUGUUACAAGAGCUGUUUUGGGUUGAGUGGUUAAACUCUCAGACUGCAGACAGGCUGACCUGGCUUAGAAUUUUUCCUCUCUGAGGACUAGCAGUCACAAACACAGUAAACAUUCAACAAACAGAACCGUAACCAUUGUUCUUAUUCACUCUGUCUCUGUUCGGCUCUCACCCCCUCUGUAAAUGUUCCCUGACUCCCCGCCUCGCUCCUCUAGAAAGUUCACCCCACCCUCCCCUGCACUUUGUACUUGCUGCACUACUGCAGGUCUCAUGCUGUGCUGGUCAAAUGCCCUUCCCAGACUAUUAGUUUCUGGAAGGGCAGAAAUCCUGUCUGUUCAGAACCUGCCACAGCCCGUCAUGAAGGCGGAGCUCUGGGAAUGUUUGUGGAGAAGGAACGUAGAGACACUUUCGAGAAGUGUGAACUACCCAGUGAGGACAACUGUUCAGGUUGGGGUGAGUAAUCUGUUACUAGGGUAGCCACCUGUCAGGGAUGCUGAAAGAGAUAAACUUCAGGACAUAUUGAGGCUUUCUACCCUAGCUUAUGUUUUGAAGCCAGUAUUUGUUUCAUAGA